GUAUGAAUGGCUGCAUGAGGACCAAACUGUCUCCUUUGACUAAUCAAUGAACCUGAUCUUCUAGUACAAAAGCUAGAAUACCCACAUAAGACGAGAAGACCCUGUGGAGCUUAAAACAUUAGUACUAACCAACCGCCCCCCGCCAGGCCCACCCCACCAAAAUAGUACACGUUUUUAGUUGGGGCGACUACGGAACCAAACCAAACUUCCACGAUAAGAAACAACCCAUCUGCCCGAGGCUAACAGGCCAACGCACCACUUGACCCAGUAAUACUGACCAACGAACCAAGUUACCCCAGGGAUAACAGCGCUAUCCUCUUCAAGAGCCCCUAUCGCCAAGAGGGUUUACGACCUCGAUGUUGGAUCAGGACCCCCCGGUGGUGCAACCGCUACCAAUGGUUCGUUUG
rnacentral:rRNA from 1 species